UCAGAACUUGGUAACAAUAGAAUGUUUGGAGGUCAGGAGGAGGGAGCAGCCUACAGUGAAUUCCCUGGCUUGUAUGGCUGAUUAAGUCACAGUUUAACUGGCAUAGGGAAUCCAGGAGGGGGAGCAAGUUGGCUGGGGGAAAAGGGAAACUCUAGAGAAUGUACCCCACUGAAACAAGGGUGUGAAUCAAGAAAGGAAUAUGAGAGCCCCAGUAAACAAGAAACACAACACAAGAGAAAGAGAUGUCUUACUCUUCUUGCUCAGGCUGGUUUUGAACUCC